UACGGAGGGUGCGAGCGUUGUCCGGAAUCAUUAGGCGUAAAGGGCGCGUAGGUGGCCCCUCAAGCGUGCGGUGAAAGUCAGGGGCUCAACCCCUGAUCGGCCGUGCGAACUGGGGAGCUUGAGCACUGUAGAGGCAGGCGGAAUUCCGGGUGUAGCGGUGGAAUGCGUAGAGAUCCGGAAGAACACCGGUGGCGAAGGCGGCCUGCUGGGCAGUUUUGCUGACACUGAGGCGCGACAGCGUGGGGAGCAAACAGG
rnacentral:rRNA from 1 species